ensembl:lncRNA
UCCACUCUUGAGCUAUUUUUCUCAGUGUACAUGUGGUUGUUAUCUUGUGUAAUGUUGGAAUCUGUGUUUUCACAUAUAUCUUUUUUUUCCUCAUUUCAGGGCUCUCCCAAAGUCUGUUUCUGUCAAUGACGCUUUAGAUAAUACUGUCCACCCUAAUGCCGCCUGGCCGGCCUCCAAAAAACAGGACGAUUCAGUUCGUAUGAAGAACAAUCAGAACCAAGUCCCAGAACAAAUCAGAUCUGUAAAACAAGCUGAAAUCCACACCAAGGACAAUAGAAGCCACCCAAUCAACUCAACGCAGACAGAAAAAGAGCUUCCUGUGCAGAUUGUGCACUAUGAUGGCUGGAACCCACAACAGGACUGGCCUGACAGCAGGCAGUGUGACAUGGUGAGUUCUGGACCUCCAUUCAGCUUCCUGACCCAUACCCACAUCACAUCAGCA